rnacentral:rRNA from 1 species
GGGUCAGUAGGUUGGUCGUGCCACCGGUACGUACUGGUCUCACUGAUUCUUCCUUCCUGAAGAACCGUAAUGCCAUUAAUUUGGUGUUGCGGGGAAACAGGACUGUUACUUUGAAAAAAUUAGAGUGUUUAAAGCAAGCUAACGCUUGAAUACAUUAGCAUGGAAUAAUGAAAUAGGACGAUCGAUCCUAUUUUGUUGGUUUCUAGGAUUGACGUA